rnacentral:misc_RNA from 1 species
AUCAUCAUCAGUAUAAGCUCCAACUGCGUCCAAUAUGACAUUAACAAAUUAAAAAUAAUUCAACCAUGUUUCUUACUUCUUAUGAAGGAAGGGAUUAGUAUUGUUCUUGUGGGUUCUUGCAUUAACCAAAGUACAUACAGCAAAAAAUACUUAGGUUCUUGCCAUUGCAAUAAUCAUUGACAACUUAUGCAACUUCAUGCACUAAACUAAAAACAGAUAACAGAUUCGCUAUCAGUCACCAAAAGAUAGCCAUUUAGAAGUUGAAUUCCCAAUAAUAGAUAGCCAUUAAAGAAAGUUUGAAGAACCAAAAUCACAGAACAAGAGCUAAAUUUAAUCCAUUACCCACUACGCUACAAAGUACAAAUUAACUAAAAGAUGAACCUUUAAAGGUGCUCGAGUACCAUAAAUUAUUCCCACAUACAUGUAGAUAUCAAUGCAUGUGAAGUUAAAAUAGUGAAAUUGCAGAGAGGGA